UGAGUCGGCUGGGCGGCCGCGGCUGGGGACCCUUGGCGGGUCGUCAGGCGAGGAAAGUCCGGGCUCCGCAGAGCGGGGUGGUGGGUAACGCCCACCCGGGGCGACCCGAGGGAAAGUGCCACAGAGAACAGACCGCCGCCGCCGCGCCUUAGGGGCGGGGAGGCGGCAAGGGUGAAACGGCGGUGUAAGAGACCACCAGCGCCCAGGGCGACCUGGGCGGCUAGGCAAACCCCAC
rnacentral:RNase_P_RNA from 1 species